rnacentral:rRNA from 1 species
CCUACGGGAGGCAGCAGUGAGGAAUAUUGGUCAAUGGGCGCAAGUCUGAACCAGCCAAGUAGCGUGCAGGAUGACUGCCCUAUGGGUUGUAAACUUCUUUUAUAUGGGAGUAAAGUGAUGUAUGUGUACUGCUUUGAAUGUACCUUAUGAAUAAGGAUCGGCUAACUCCGUGCCAGCAGCCGCGGUAAUACGGAGGAUCCGAGCGUUAUCCGGAUUUAUUGGGUUUAAAGGGAGCGUAGGCGGGUUGUUAAGUCAGUUGUGAAAGUUUGCGGCUCAACCGUAAAAUUGCAGUUGAUACUGGCAGCCUUGAGUACAGUAGAGGUAGGCGGAAUGCGUGGUGUAGCGGUGAAAUGCUUAGAUAUCACGAAGAACUCCGAUUGCGAAGGCAGCUUACUGGACUGUAACUGACGCUGAGGCUCGAAAGUGUGGGGAUCAAACAGGAUUAGAUACCCGGGUAGUC